UACGAAGGGGGCUAGCGUUGCUCGGAAUCACUGGGCGUAAAGGGUGCGUAGGCGGGUCUUCAGUCAGGGGUGAAAUCCUGGAGCUCAACUCCAGAACUGCCUUUGAUACUGAAGAUCUUGAGUUCGGGAGAGGUGAGUGGAACUGCGAGUGUAGAGGUGAAAUUCGUAGAUAUUCGCACGAACACCAGUGGCGAAGGCGGCUCACUGGCCCGAUACUGACGCUGAUGCACGAAAGCGUGGGGAGCAAACAGG
rnacentral:rRNA from 1 species